rnacentral:rRNA from 1 species
CACUCCUACGGGAGGCAGCAGUGGGGAAUUUUGGACAAUGGGCGAAAGCCUGAUCCAGCCAUGCCGCGUGCAGGAUGAAGGCCUUCGGGUUGUAAACUGCUUUUGUACGGAACGAAACGGCCUUUUCUAAUAAAGAGGGCUAAUGACGGUACCGUAAGAAUAAGCACCGGCUAACUACGUGCCAGCAGCCGCGGUAAUACGUAGGGUGCAAGCGUUAAUCGGAAUUACUGGGCGUAAAGCGUGCGCAGGCGGUUAUGUAAGACAGUUGUGAAAUCCCCGGGCUCAACCUGGGAACUGCAUCUGUGACUGCAUAGCUAGAGUACGGUAGAGGGGGAUGGAAUUCCGCGUGUAGCAGUGAAAUGCGUAGAUAUGCGGAGGAACACCGAUGGCGAAGGCAAUCCCCUGGACCUGUACUGACGCUCAUGCACGAAAGCGUGGGGAGCAAACAGGAUUAGAAACCCCAGUAGUCCC